GAUGAACGCUGGCGGCGUGCCUAAUACAUGCAAGUCGAGCGAACAGAUGAGGAGCUUGCUCCUCUGACGUUAGCGGCGGACGGGUGAGUAACACGUGGAUAACCUACCUAUAAGACUGGGAUAACUUCGGGAAACCGGAGCUAAUACCGGAGAAUAUAUUGAACCGCAUGGUUCAAGAGUGAAAGACGGUUUUGCUGACACUUAUAGAUGGAUCCGCGCCGCAUUAGCUAGUUGGUAAGGUAACGGCUUACCAAGGCAACGAUGCGUAGCCGACCUGAGAGGGUGAUCGGCCACACUGGAACUGAGACACGGUCCAGACUCCUACGGGAGGCAGCAGUAGGGAAUCUUCCGCAAUGGGCGAAAGCCUGACGGAGCAACGCCGCGUGAGUGAUGAAGGUCUUCGGAUCGUAAAACUCUGUUAUUAGGGAAGAACAAAUGUGUAAGUAACUAUGCACGUCUUGACGGUACCUAAUCAGAAAGCCACGGCUAACUACGUG
rnacentral:rRNA from 1 species